GACAGAGGGUGCAAACGUUGUUCGGAAUUACUGGGCGUAAAGCGCGCGUAGGCGGUUACUCAAGUCGGAUGUGAAAGCCCUCGGCUUAACUGAGGAAGUGCACCCGAAACUGAGUAGCUAGAGUACUAAAGAGGGUCGCGGAAUUCCCGGUGUAGAGGUGAAAUUCGUAGAUAUCGGGAGGAACACCGGUGGCGAAGGCGGCGACCUGGGUAGAUACUGACGCUGAGGCGCGAAAGCGUGGGGAGCAAACAGG
rnacentral:rRNA from 1 species